rnacentral:rRNA from 1 species
AGGAAAGUGGGGGAUCGSAAGACCUCACGCUUUAGGAGCGGUCGAUAUYAGAUUAUGAUGGUGAGGUAAAGGCUUACYAUGGCGACGAUCUGUAUCUGGUCUGGGAUGAUCAGCCACACUGGGACUGAGACGCGGCCCAGACUUCUACGGGCWGUAGUGGGGAAUUUUGGACAAUGGGGGCAACUYCUGAUCYAAGUUUUCGCGUGAGUGAAGAAGGCCUUCGGGUUGUAAAGYUYUUUUGUUCGGGACGAAACGGUUAAGGUUAAUAAYYUUUGACUACUGACGGUAGGGUAACUACGUGCCA